UACGUAGGUGACAAGCGUUGUCCGGAUUUACUGGGCGUAAAGAGCGCGCAGGCGGUCGAUCAAGUCGAGUGUGAAAGCCCCCGGCUCAACUGGGGAGGGUCAUUCGAUACUGAUCGACUCGAAGGCAGGAGAGGGUAGUGGAAUUCCCGGUGUAGUGGUGAAAUGCGUAGAUAUCGGGAGGAACACCCGUAGCGAAGGCGGCACUCUGGGCCGGUACUGACGCUGAGGAGCGAAAGCGUGGGGAGCAAACAGG
rnacentral:rRNA from 1 species